GACGAACGCUGGCGGCGUGCUUAACACAUGCAAGUCGAACGGUGAAGCGCCUUCCUUUUGGGUUGGUGUGGUGGAGAGGCGAACGGGUGCGUAAGACUAGAGUAACCUGCCCCCUUCUUUUGGAUAACCGCAUGAAAGCGUGUCCAAUACGGGAGCUCCUGCUGCUGUGGCAUGAUGGGAAUGUGUCGGAUAUUGGUUAGGUGGGGGAUGGGCAUGGGGCUGAUCAGCGUGUUGGUGGGGAGGUGGCCUACCAAGGCUUGGGAGGGUAGACGGCCUGAGUGGGUGAGCGGCCACAUUGGGACUGAGAUACGGCGCAGACUUCGACGGGAGUGAGCAGUGGGGAAAAGUGUGAAGUGGGCGGACGCCGGAUGCAGUAACGCCGCGCGGGGGAUGAAGGCCUUCGGGUUGUAAAGCGGUUUCGCCUGGGAUGAAGGUGGAUUGACGGUAACGGGUAAAGAAGCACCGGCUAACUACGUG
rnacentral:rRNA from 1 species